AGACAUGUACUCUGGAUUCUCCAUUGAAGCGACUUCUGAGCUUUCUUCUCCAUUGAAGCAGCAAGUUGUAAGGAGCAAGAAAUCAAACAAUUUCCAAAGGAAGUACAAAAAUAUUUGCAAGGGAAGCAAAGAGAGUAUGAGGCUGACAAGAUACGGGGAAAUGAUGUGGGAAUAUCUAAGGUCUUAGACUCAGCUCAUCAAGUUGGAAGAUUUACUGUCUCAAGCUCUCAACUGCCCUUGAUUUGCCUUACAAGGAAAUGGCCAUCCACUAUGAAGCUCUUAUGAUGGGUAAGCAGCCUAAGAUGUCCCAUUUGAUGACGGUUCGAACGAAAUAGGGCUACUCCUUCACAUGUAAGGCACUUAUUAAGAUUCUUUUAGUUUUGAGGUUUCAAUUGUUGCAAUGUUUGAUAUAUGCAUCUGUGAAGAAAUUUUUAAUAUGGCAUAAUUGUCCUACGAACAUAAACAAUUUGAGACCCUAAAAAGAAACCGGUUAACAAGAAGGGAAGGAGCGAUGAUCCAUUGUACUGUUUAACACUUAAAUUAUUUGGCUACUCAGAACAAUCUGUCAUCUCAAAAUGGGAAUAAGGCUACUUUUGGUGUUAAAUUUGGCAAUCUGAGUGAGUAGAAUUGUUUUUUCUUAUUCCGAAUUGAGAAAUGUUGCAGAAAGGAAAUCCUUUUAAAUAUGAUAAUUUAAUGGUUCCUGCAAUCAAAUAGCUCUAUCCUGCCUUCUUUUCUAGAUACACUUAAUUUUGUCAUCUUCAAUUGGCUAGCUUAUGAAAACUAUAUAAAUACAAGUAAUAGUUAAACCGAACUCUACUUCUGAUGAUUAACUACUAAAGAUCAAUAUUGCCCCUGCUGGGUACAAACUGAUCACCAUCGUUUACAAGGCACAAUAUGAAAAAGCUAGCAAUACACAUGUGAUGAACAGGGUAGUUUGUUACUAACUCCCAAAUUCUUGGUUGAAUAUAGCUCGGAGUGUUGUCUUCCCAAAAAUAGUUCUCUUGUCACUACUGAAUACAAGCUUCCCACAUCAAGCCCUAGGGAGCGAACUUCUUAAAAGCUGUUGGUUGUUGAUUAUCAAUACACUAGAGGCAGCCGAAAUGUUCCAGGGGAGCAAUAUAUAUUUAGUUUCUGGAAUUGGUAUUGACGUCUUGGUGUGUCUCACAUGGCAGGCGUUCUGUCCAAGAAGUAGCUAAAGAUUCUAUUAGCUACUCAAGAAGCAGCUUUAAUAAUUAUAUAGUUAGUCUUAGAUUCCAAAGAUUCAUUUUAUUCAUUAAUUAAUUUUUUUUAUUAAUUAUUAUUUUAGGUUAUCCAAUUUUGUUCCAAUCGAUCGGAUAAGGCAAAUAGGUUGUAUCUUCUUGAAUUUUUUUUGGGUCAAAAUUGAUUUCAAGUACAGCUUUAUAGUUUUAUACUUUCAUUUGUAUCUGCUAAAAGUUUUGGCAUUGUAUAAAAGAAACAUUUUUCUAAAACUCA